UACGGGGGGGGGCAAGCGUUGUUCGGAAUUACUGGGCGUAAAGGGCUCGUAGGCGGCCAACUAAGUCGGAUGUGAAAUCCCCAGGCUUAACCUGGGAACUGCAUCCGAUACUGGAUGGCUUGAAUUCGGGAGAGGGAUGCAGAAUUCCAGGUGUAGCGGUGAAAUGCGUAGAUAUCUGGAGGAAUACCGGUGGCGAAGGCGGCACUCUGGGCCGGUACUGACGCUGAGGAGCGAAAGCGUGGGGAGCAAACAGG
rnacentral:rRNA from 1 species